UACAGAGGGUGCGAGCGUUGUUCGGAAUUAUUGGGCGUAAAGGGCGCGUAGGCGGUGCGGUAAGUCACCUGUGAAAUCUCCUGGCUCAACUGGGAGCUUGCAGGCGAAACUGCCGUGCUGGAGUGUGGGAGAGGUGCGUGGAAUUCCUGGUGUAGCGGUGAAAUGCGUAGAUAUCGGGAGGAACACCUGCGAUGUAGAUGGCUUACUGGACCGUAACUGACGCUGAGGCACGAAAGCGUGGGUAGCAAACAGG
rnacentral:rRNA from 1 species